rnacentral:rRNA from 1 species
CUCGCGAGAGUAAGCUAAUCUCUUAAAGCCGUUCUCAGUUCGGACUGUAGGCUGCAACUCGCCUACACGAAGUCGGAAUCGCUAGUAAUCGCGGAUCAGCAUGCCGCGGUGAAUACGUUCCCGGGCCUUGUACACACCGCCCGUCACACCAUGAGAGUUGGGAUACCCGAAGCCUGUGAGCUAACUAUUUAUAGGAGCAGCAGUCGAAGGUAGAAUCAAUGAUUGGGGUGAAGUCGUAACAAGGUAAC